AUACGGAGGAUCCGAGCGUUAUCCGGAUUUAUUGGGUUUAAAGGGUGCGCAGGCGGCCAUUUAAGUCAGCGGUUAAAUCGUGGGGCUCAACCCCAUUCUGCCGUUGAUACUGGGUGGCUUGAUUGCGGCCGAGGUUGGCGGAAUUCGUUGUGUAGCGGUGAAAUGCAUAGAUAUGACGAAGAACACCGAUUGCGUAGGCAGCUGACCAGACCGCAAAUGACGCUCAUGCACGAAAGUGCGGGGAUCGAACAGGAUUAGAUACCCUGGUAGUCUGCACAGUAAACGAUGAAUACUUGUUUUCGGCGAUAUAAUGUCGGAGGCAAAGCGAAAGCGAUAAGUAUUCCACCUGGGGAGUACGCCGGCAACGGUGAAACUCAAAUGAAUUGACGGGG
rnacentral:rRNA from 1 species